AUUUUAUUUAAUUUUUGUAAAGAUAAUUCUGACUCUAUGCACAGAAAAGGUUUGAAAGUUGCGCACAAGGCUGUUACGACUUGGAAGGCUUGUGAGAAGACUUGCCAUUUUCACUUUAUAUUUUCCUCUAUUUUUUAACAAUUAUUUCUUCUCUUUUUGUCAUUAAAUAAUGUUAAGUAAACAAACAUUGAAAAGUGCAGUCUUUGCCACUGGGUAGAUGACAGGCUGCACAUGGUAUUUCUGCUUCUCUGCUCAAACAUAUAUUUUUUUGCCUCUUGGUUUGGAGAAAAUGAGUGAGUCUGCUGAAGACACAAAGAUCAUAUUUGCAAGAAAAGGAUCAAACUGGGAACACCCAUGGCCCAGGAGUGUUAGGUAACUUCAAUGUUUCAUUCUCUCAACUGAGAGGACCAACAUAGCCACCUGUUUUGUAAGAAAAUGAAAACUUUGCUCUUAGUGAUGGAAAACUCUUCCUUUUUCCAUGGGACCUGGUACACCAGUACUGGAGGGAUUUGCAUGUUUAAAGGAGUGCGCAGAACAGCAGCCCACAUAAUGAAUUCUGCGGGGUCUUGGCGGAGGAAUUGGUAUUCAUCUUUGGCGCUCCUGUCUGCGGCAGGGUCUGUGUUCUUCGCGUGCGCUGAUUGGGCACCAAUGCCGCAGCGACCAAUCAUAUGGCGUCGGAGGGAGGACUCCAUCUCAGCAGGACUUGGACUUGGGAGAAGGGAUGAGUUGAGUGGCUACCGGGUCCACAGAUUGGUUUGCAGGGUGUGUGUGCGGCAAGAGUCGAGGCGUGGGUGGUGGGGUUGAUUCCUUUCCCCGGACAAUCUCUUGAUUAGGAAGCAUCUCCUUCUUGGGGGUUUGAAGAGCCAGAGGCAUCCCUUUCUCCAUUUUCUGCUCGCAGUUGCAUCAGUUAAGGUCAGUUCAGUCGCUCAGUCGCGUCCGACUCUUUGCGACCCCAUGAAUUGCAGCACGCCAGACCUCCCUGUCCAUCACCAACUCCUGGAGUUCACCUAAACUCAUGUCCAUCGAGUCGGUGAUGCUAUCCAGCCAUCUCAUCCUCUGUCGUCCCCUUCUCCUCCUGCCCC
rnacentral:lncRNA from 1 species